rnacentral:rRNA from 1 species
UACGUAGGGGGCUAGCGUUGUCCGGAUUUAUUGGGCGUAAAGAGCGUGUAGGCGGCCAGGUAGGUCUGCUGUGAAAACUCGAGGCUCAACCUCGAGACGUCGGCGGAAACCAUCUGGCUAGAGUCCGGAAGAGGAGAGUGGAAUUCCUGGUGUAGCGGUGAAAUGCGCAGAGUAUCAGGAAGAACACCCGUGGCGAAGGCGGCUCUCUGGAACGGUACUGACGCUGAGACGCGAAAGCGUGGGGAGCGAACAGG